UUUAUUGUGUUUUUUGGCGGAAAUCAUAUUCCUAAUCUGUAGGUCACAGGUUCGAUUCCUGUCGGGAUCACCA
rnacentral:tRNA from 1 species